AUUGAACGCUGGCGGCAUGCCUUACACAUGCAAGUCGAACGGCAGCACGGGAGCUUGCUCCUGGUGGCGAGUGGCGAACGGGUGAGUAAUGCAUCGGAACGUGCCCUGAAGUGGGGGAUAACGUAGCGAAAGUUACGCUAAUACCGCAUAUUCUGUGAGCAGGAAAGCAGGGGAUCUUCGGACCUUGCGCUUUUGGAGCGGCCGAUGUCGGAUUAGCUAGUUGGUGGGGUAAAGGCCCACCAAGGCGACGAUCCGUAGCGGGUCUGAGAGGAUGAUCCGCCACACUGGAACUGAGACACGGUCCAGACUCCUACGGGAGGCAGCAGUGGGGAAUUUUGGACAAUGGGCGCAAGCCUGAUCCAGCCAUGCCGCGUGUGGGAUGACAGGGCUUCGCCUUGUAAACCACUGUCGGACGGGACGAAAGGAGGCCUCGGGCCUCUGGGACGGUACCGUCAAAGGAAGGGUCGGCUAACUACGUGCCAGCAGCCGCGGUAAU
rnacentral:rRNA from 1 species